UUCUCUAAAAUUAAAAAUUUUGGCGGUAUUUUAGUCUUUUCAGAGGAACCUGUUUUUUAAAUGAUAGUCCACGAUUAAUUUAACUUUAUUUUUAAAUUUAUAUAUCGUCGUAGUUUGAAUAUUUUAAAAUUUAAUGUUUUCAGAUCAAGGUGUAGUUUAUAAUAAAGAUAAAAUGGGUUACAUUAAAAAUAUAAAAUAGAUUGGAUUUGAAAGUAAGCUCUAAAAUAUGCACAUAUCGCCCGUCGCUUUCAUAUUAAUAUGAAAUAAGUCGUAACAAAGUAGACUUAUUGGAAAAUAAGUCUGGAACCAAAUUAGAGUUUUUAAAAUAUUUUAUUUACACUAAAAAGUUAAUUGUUCAAUUUAAUUUGAAAUUUAUAAAUUAUUAAUUUUGUUAUUUUAAUUAUUUUUAUAAAAAAAUUUUUUUUUUAUUAAUUUAUUGAAUAAAUUUAAUUAUAGUUUAUAGUAUUGUGAAAGAAUUUUAGUAAUUAUUUAAAAGAAAAAUUUAAUUUUUGUACCUUGGGUGUCAGGGUUUAUUAAUUUAAUUUUCUCGAAUUUAAAAGAGCUAAUUUUAUUGUGACAAAAAUAUUUUUAAUAUUUAUUUAGUAAUGAAAAGUUAUUCGGUUUUAAAUAUAUCUAGUUUUUAAAGAAAAAAAUUUAAUUUUAUGGUUUUUACAUUUAAUGUUAAGGGUUAAGCUUUAAAUUUUAAUAUUAAAAAUUAUUUUUUUUAUAAAAUAAAUAGGAUUAGAAAUAUCUAUUUUUGAAAGUUUUUAGUAAUUUAUUUUAAUUUUUUUAUUUAAAAUUUGUUUUUAAUUUUAUUAUAUAAGUUAUAAUGAUAAAAUUAGUAAAUUUAUUUUAAGGAAUUCGGCAAAUAAAUUUUCUACCUGUUUAAUAAAAACAUGUCUUUUUGAAUUUGAUUUAAAGUCUGGCCUGCCCAAUGAUUUAAUGGCCGUAGUAUUUUGACUGUGCUAAGGUAGCAUAAUCAUUAGUUUUUUAAUUGAAAACCGGUAUGAAUGGCUUGAUGAGAAAAUUUCUGUCUCUAAAAAUUUAUUUUUAAGUUAAAAAGCUUAAAUGUUUUAAAAAGACGAGAAGACCCUAUAGAUUUUUUUAGUUGGGGUGAUUUAUAAAUUUAUAAAACUUUAUAUAUUAGUAGAUAAUUGAUCCUAGAUUAAAAGAAAAAAUUACCUUAGGGAUAACAGCGUAAUUUUUUUUAAAGUUCUUAUUGA
rnacentral:rRNA from 1 species